rnacentral:rRNA from 1 species
UACAGAGGGUGCAAGCGUUAAUCGGAAUUACUGGGCGUAAAGCGUGCGUAGUCGGUUAUUUAAGUCGGGCGUGAAAGCCCCGGGCUCAACCUGGGAAUUGCGUUCGAUACUGGAUAGCUAGAGUUCGGCAGAGGGAAGCGGAAUUUCGGGUAUAGCGGUGAAAUGCGUAGAUAUCCGAAGGAACAUCAGUGGCGAAAGCGGCUUCCUGGACCAGAACUGACGAUCAGGCACGAAAGCGUGGGGAGCAAACAGG